CCGGCCUCGCGCGGAGCGCCUCGCCGCGGGACGGCAGAGCGGUGUGACGGCGCGGGGCUGCAGCGGUCCUACCCGAAAGGCAGGUGGAGCUAUCAGGAAUAACAAGGAGGACAACUUUGCACAAAACACACUGCAGCCCAUGUAAAAAAAAGGGGUCACCUCCAAGACCAGGUCUCAGCAAUUCCUGUCUAAGUCCUCAGUGUUAUCUCCCAUACACAUCUGCUUCCCAGCCCCAGCAUUUCCUGUUGGAGCCACGAGCUGAGUGUGGCCCAUAAACCUGCAGCCUUUGGGGAACCAUCCGUCCCUUGUGCAGAUCUUUGCUACCCACUGCACCACACAUCAGAGCGUGCACAGCAUCCAAAGGGCCCCAAGGAAAAGGAGAGCAAAUCGGCUCCUCCUGCUCGGGAUUGAUCCAUGCUAAGUGGUCGCUGGGGGGGUGAUGAGCAGGGAACAGGGAUUAUUCAUCAAAGAGGUUCCUGGGAAAGCCGAAAGACCUGCGACAUCGGGGUGUUAUUGAAGUGAAAGGGAGAAGGAACAUCAGUGGGGAAGUUGGCAGUUCAGAAGCAGAGCUGGUUACAUGGGUUACGUCCUCAGUCUACAAAUAAAUUGCUUUGGAUUUACACAGAAUAACUGAGCUCAUUUCCCUUUUCAGCCGAUAAAGGCCCAGUUGUCUGGAAUUUCAACAAACCAAUUGUAAAAGCAGCAUGUGGCAGAGGCCUGACUCAUCGCAUCAUUUUCUCAGCAGCUAGCAUAAAUAAAACCUCCUCGCUCCCUCCAGCCAGCCCGAGAGCUCUGCCUGCAGGCAGGGUGAGACUGCAGGUUAGGGACUGACCUGCACGAGGCCUCCUGCUCCUCCAUGGGGGCUGUGGCUUCUGCCCUGCAGCACCGCCGAGGUUGCAGCCCUGAGUGCGGUUUCCUCUCGAGUGGUUCCCCAUCAGGCAGGAUGGGGCAGCUUGGUCUUUGCAGAUUGCUCACAGAGGGAACGAGGGACGGCUCCACAGUGGGGAAGUUCAAACUGCUGACGUUGUUUGGGAGGUCUUCACAGGAUCAAAUCAGCACUUGGUUUUCCAGCAGUGCACUUCUAAGAAGUCCCAUUGGCGAUGAUAGUUCCUAAGCAGACAAAAAUACCUCAGGUCCAGGCUGAAAGGCACAGAACAGUGUCUUGAAAAAGAAGCAGAUCAGGGAAUUACACCAGGGAACUUCCUGUGCUGGCCAUGAGGGAGCUUCUAAAUCCAGCAAGAAACAGGCACCCAGCUUGGCAUCGUCCCCAGUCAAUCUGGUUUCCCGUAGGAACCAAAAACCCCUUGAAUUUCAAGCCAUCAGUGGCAGCUUGUUUCUGUCCAGAAAACCAACAGUCAUGGGAACCUUGCGGAUGAUCUCUGCUACCACAGUCUGCUGGGGCAGGAGGCUGCCUUGAAAUUGCUCCCAUUGGGUUGAGAGUAAUUUUCAUGAGUGCAGGAUGCAAAUGAAGGAUUGCUAUUGUUUA
ensembl:lncRNA